GAUGAACGCUAGCUACAGGCUUAACACAUGCAAGUCGAGGGGCAGCAGGGAUUUAGCUUGCUAAAUCCGCUGGCGACCGGCGCACGGGUGCGUAACGCGUAUCCAACUUUCCCGUUACUCAGGGAUAGCCUUCCGAAAGGGAGAUUAAUACCUGAUGGUGUUUGAAGUUCGCAUGUUCUUCAAACUAAAGAUUUAUCGGUAACGGAUAGGGAUGCGUGACAUUAGAUAGUAGGCGGGGUAACGGCCCACCUAGUCUACGAUGUCUAGGGGUUCUGAGAGGAAGGUCCCCCACACUGGAACUGAGACACGGUCCAGACUCCUACGGGAGGCAGCAGUGAGGAAUAUUGGUCAAUGGUCGGAAGACUGAACCAGCCAAGUAGCGUGAAGGAUGAAGGUUCUAUGGAUUGUAAACUUCUUUUAUAUAGGAAUAAAACCUCCCACGUGUGGGAGCUUGUAUGUACUAUAUGAAUAAGCAUCGGCUAACUCCGUGCCAGCAGCCGCGG
rnacentral:rRNA from 1 species